rnacentral:rRNA from 1 species
CCUACGGGUGGCAGCAGUAGGGAAUCUUGCACAAUGGGCGAAAGCCUGAUGCAGCAACGCCGCGUGGGUGAAGAAGGUCUUCGGAUCGUAAAACCCUGUUGUUAGGGAAGAAAGUGCGUGAGAGUAACUGGUCACGUGUCGACGGUAUCUAACCAGCAAGCAACGGCUAACUACGUGCCAGCAGCCGCGGUAAUACGUAGGUGGCAAGCGUUAUCCGGAUUUAUUGGGCGUAAAGGGAACGCAGGCGGUCUUUUAAGUCUGAUGUGAAAGCCUUCGGCUUAACCGGAGUAGUGCAUUGGAAACGGGGAGACUUGAGUGCAGAAGAGGAGAGGGGAAUUCCAGGGGUAGCGGUGAAAUGCGUAGAUAUAGGGAGGAACACCAGUGGCGAAGGCGGCUCUCUGGACGGUAACUGACGCUGAGGUGCGAAAGCGUGGGGAGCAAACAGGAUUAGAUACCCCUGUAGUC